rnacentral:lncRNA from 1 species
AGAGCAUCAGAUAAAGCUUUCAUGGUUCUAACUUGCAACUCAAGUGCAGCAACAUAAUCUGCAGUUUCUUCAAGCAAAUCAACCAUGGAUGCUUUUGUACAACCAGGAACCAGAUGACCUAAAAACUUCAAUUUUGCCUUCACCUUCUUCUUCUUCUCCUCCCCCCCUCUUCCUCCUCCUCCUCCUCCUCCUUCCUUCUCCACCCUCCUCCACUUCUUCAUCACCUUCAAUUAUGUACACAUAUGGUUUUCAGUGAUUAAUUAUUAAUCGAUCAAUAAAUUAAUUAAUUCUGUGUGUAGAUCGAUCGAUGAUUGCACGUACCUUGGGUUUUGCUAUGACUAUCUUCCGCAUCUGCCGUCGCCGGGAAAGAAUAGCUCUAAUCCACCGUGUCUGGCCUCGAGCCGUCAUCGCCAGGGCGGAAUCAGCAGCUUCUUUGAUUGCGCGUGAAGGUGGUAAUUUUGUUCCCACUGACGAUGAUUGUGCUGUUUUUGUUGUUGUUAUUGAUGAUGAGGAAGAUGAUGAUGAUGGGGAUUGAGAUUUUGAUCCGUUUCCGUCGAUGGUCAGGUUUCGGAGCGAGUUUAUCAGACGGAGAUUAUAGAUCUUGGCUUGUGCUGGAUUUUUCCAAUGGAUUUCGCGUGGUUGCUGCUGCUUGACUAGCGACAGCUUUACUCUUUUUCUGGCUCCCGG